CGGGGGGAGCAAGCGUUGUUCGGAUUUACUGGGCGUAAAGGGCGCGUAGGCGGCGCAACAAGUCACUUGUGAAAUCUCCGGGCUUAACCCGGAGCGGCCAAGUGAUACUGUCGUGCUAGAGUGCGGAAGGGGCUGCUGGAAUUCUCGGUGUAGCGGUGAAAUGCGUAGAUAUCGAGAGGAACACCUGCGGCGAAGGCGGGUAGCUGGGCCGACACUGACGCUGAGGCGCGAAAGCCAGGGGAGCGAACGGGAUUAGAUACCCUGGUAGUCCUGGCCUUAAACGAUGGAUACUUGGUGUCCGGGGUUACAUAGUCCCCGGGUGCCGGCGCUAACGCAUUAAGUAUCCCGCCUGGGGAGUACGGUCGCAAGACUG
rnacentral:rRNA from 1 species